rnacentral:rRNA from 1 species
AGUGAACGCUGGCGGUAGGCCUAACACAUGCAAGUCGAACGGCAGCACAGUAAGAGCUUGCUCUUACGGGUGGCGAGUGGCGGACGGGUGAGGAAUACAUCGGAAUCUACUUUUUCGUGGGGGAUAACGUAGGGAAACUUACGCUAAUACCGCAUACGACCUACGGGUGAAAGCAGGGGAUCUUCGGACCUUGCGCGAUUGAAUGAGCCGAUGUCGGAUUAGCUAGUUGGCGGGGUAAAGGCCCACCAAGGCGACGAUCCGUAGCUGGUCUGAGAGGAUGAUCAGCCACACUGGAACUGAGACACGGUCCAGACCCCUACGGGAGGCAGCAGUGGGGAAUAUUGGACAAUGGGCGCAAGCCUGAUCCAGCCAUACCGCGUGGGUGAAGAAGGCCUUCGGGUUUUAAAGCCCUUUUGUUGGGAAAGAAAAGCAGCAGGUUAAUACCCCGCUGUUCUGACGGUACCCAAAGAAUAAGCACCGGCUAACUUCGUG